AAAUUAAAGAAUCUAAAAUCUAGACUAGAACAAGAAAAGAAUUGAAAAGAGUGAAGGAGACUUUAUUCUUGCUUCUAUAUGUACUAUCCACUUAGGAUUAUGUAACAACGUUCUAUAGGACCUUUAAUAUGUGUUGACUUUGUAAGCCACGUGUUUUAACUUACAAGGCAAGUUUUCUAUGUGUAUGCUACACAAUCAAAUUUUUUCACAAGCUAUCUAUACGUGUGAUAUGUGGCUAACUUAUUGAUCAAAUUUUUAAUCUAAAAAUCAAUUAUAAACAUGUAUAAAGUCAAAAUUAUAUCUAUGAAGCCUCUAAAGAGCUUUAUUAUAAGAUAUUAUGAAAUUAAUCUAAUUUUAUCUAUUUUAUUUACUUCUAUUUAAUUAUACAGGUAAUUACUAGAAUAAGUAUGUAUAUUUGUGAUAUUACCUUCCAUUUUGGAAAUAAA
rnacentral:lncRNA from 1 species